rnacentral:rRNA from 1 species
CUCGUAGGUGGCCAACUAAGUCAGACGUGAAAUCCCUCAGCUUAACUGGGGAACUGCGUCUGAUACUGGGUGGCUUGAGAUUGGGAGAGGGAUGCGGAAUUCCAGGUGUAGCGGUGAAAUGCGUAGAUAUCUGGAGGAACACCGGUGGCGAAGGCGGCAUCCUGGACCAACACUGACACUGAGGAGCGAAAGCCAGGGAGCAAC